ensembl:processed_transcript predicted gene 15545
AUUCCUCUCCCCCAUACCCCCUACCCCGGUCUUGGAUGUUUUCUGGAGGAACUGGGGCGCGUGGGCGCGUUAAGUUAUAGGGAAAACCCCAAUUCCUGAGACGUGGAUGAGGGCGCAUUCUAGUCUGUGAUUCCGAAACCAGCCAUGAUUCGCUGUGAGCUCCCCACCCCUGUGCUGGAAGGCGCCAAGUUCUGAACACCUGUGGCCUCCUCGUGGCCUCCAGGUCCUCUGCGGGAAACACCCAGCGUCCUUUGUCUGACCAACCCCUUACACGUCAAUCACCGGCAAUUCGGACGCCACCUCUUCCAGGAAAUUUCCCUGGAUCUGCAGAAAGUUACUCCUUCUCUGAGGAUGGAUGUCAGUUGCUGGAUUCGUGAACCUUCCCUUUGCCUUCAGUCCCACCAGUCUAUGGUCCAAACAUAAGAUCCUUUAAACUCCCGUAUGAGCCCUCCAGUGGGAGCUUCCGCAUAAGUCACCUAUGCUGGGUCAGAGGAAACAUUCAGUCCAAGGGCAAGUUCAAGUCCACAGGUGAGGAGGCCAGGAUGCCUGCCUGCAGAGGACAGAGAGCCCCAGGCUGUCUGUCUCCCAGGCUCUUCUGUCAUCUAUGUCAAUAGAAGCAGGGCCGCUGAGCUCUACCUGUCCCUCCUGUCUUGCCAUCUGAACUCCGUCACUCCUCGCCUCCCCAUUCCACGGAAUGCAGAAGGAACCCAGCUGAUGCUCACAACAGUACCUUUGACCUGGUACCCACACUCAGUCUCGGAGAACCUGCUCUCUCGUCAGAGUCCUUUCUGCUGGGACUGACACCCAUCUCCAGGCCUUUCCUGGUCUAUCUAAGAGGAUGGGUCUGUUCACAGACUACCAAUAUCUCAGAACCCCCAUCUCAGGGUGAUCAAGGACCCU